CCCAACACACACCCCCGUCCGCACCACCACCAUCACACCCCACCCCCACACCACCCCCCCACCUCCCUUCCCCCGCCGCUUUCAUUCCUCCUCCCUGUACGCUCCCUCUCAGAUCUGGAAGGUGCCAGGUCUCGGCACCCGUCGGCUGGACAUCCACGCCGACGUCCCCACCGCUGUAACUGACUCCAGUGGCUACUGCCGGAGCCUCUCCUUGCCGUACCUCACCACUGGCGCCUAUUAGUGAGGUAACAUCCACCCAUUUCCCCAUUCCCUUCUUUCUAUCACGUGGACGGCACGUGCCUCCGAGGCCAUUCAGUCCUUCCUUCCUGAUAUCCAUAGCAUUGCCGUUUUCUUCUGGUUCGGCGAUGGCCUCCAUGGCUGCGUUGCUCAAGAAAAUUAUUUGAUAACAGCAAAAACCCGGUCUCAAUGCGUGCUGGGUACCCACCGGGCGCCUGAAGCUUUAUUCUGGAGAAAGAGAAGAAUUAGAAGGUUGGACAGCUGGAUUGUUGCUGCUGCUGCUGCUGUUGUUUUAGCAAACAAAUGUAUGAUGGGAGAAACUGAAUCCGAGACAGAUCAGAUGCCAGCAUAUCCAUAACCAUAUUUUUUUGGUCUGACGAAUAGAAAUAUGGAUACGGAUAGUAUUUGGAUGCAAAUAUUUAUAUCCAUAUUUGUUUUAAAUGGAUAUGCAUACAAUUCGGAUGCUGGAAAUAUGGAUAUAAUUAUGGAUAUAAUUUAGAUAAUUAAACUUUAUGACUCCAGAAUUAAAUAUUACUAAAUGAAUCAUUCUCGAGUCCUAAGAGGUUUCGAGGAGACAAGACAAAUUAUCUUUGUUUUCUUCUCUCGUGCCCAAAGUUCCCUUCUUUCGUUUGCUUUCCUCCAAAGUAUCCAAACUGGGGAAAGGUGGUGAUGAUGAACCUUCGUCUCUUUAGUAUUCUCCUGUGAUUCUUCUAAUGGUGGCAGGGCAGCUUGGAAGGUCUGCUGCUCCGCAGACAACCGCUGCAGCCAUUCAAUGAGAGGAGUCAAGGGUUGAUGAAGAAGAGAUGAUGGAUCAAAGGAAAAUCUGAGCCUGCCUCUGCUUCUCUCUCACUUUCAGUCUUUUCGAGAUGCAUGUCCCUUGUUUGUUUCCCAUUAUAUGGUAUCUAUUUCUGGGAACUUUUUAAUCCUGGGACCGUCUAGAUGUGAAAUGCUUUUUGGAAGACUUGUUUCCUUUAAGAGGCCAGGGCUUCUACAAAUUUUUCAUAUGAGGGUUUGCUGUUUUUAUUAUUUUUUCAGAAAAGUUGAUUUUCAACAGAAUCUCUUUUUUCAGUAUAUAAAUAAAAUUCUCAUGUUUUGUGAAAAUCUAAGUUCCACGCUGCUCGGAAGGUUAGUUUGUUUUCUAAUUAAAAAUAUUUUCAAGUAUGCCACAUCUUGAAGGCCAUAUUUUCUAAUGCGAUGGUUUGUACCGGCAAAGGCUAGGUUUUCUUAGCUAAACCCUUUUCUUUUCUCUUCUUGGCCUCUUCCUACAUAUGAGAGGCAGAAUUUUCUUUUUUUUUUAAUAUUUGAACUUCAUACUACCACUACCUUAACCAAUAAGCCACAGGUCACAUUUAUAUUUAAAUUGGUUGAUAAAAUGUUGAUACCUUUUAAACUCUUACCAUCUUAUGUAUAAAUAUCCAACACAAAACCCUAGCCAUUGACUAACUUAUUCUGCCGCUCCAAGCCUCCCACUUGAAUCAGACUUUUGAGGAUGAAAAAAACAGAGCAAUGAAAGCAAAGAAAAGAUGGAAAAAAAUUGAAAGGCAGUGAUGAUGAAACCUCUUUGGACCCCUCCUAUACAGCCCGUUGCGGUGCAAAACAUGGACCGCAGAGUAUUCCAACUCCUAUAUUGUAACACGGCUGCUACUUUGUAAUUUCUAAGUUAGCAUCUGGAUGGUCUACUUGUCUACAGACAACUGCUGCAGGCAUUCAUUUGAUAAAGAGUGCAGGGGGAAUGAUGGACCAA